GAUGAACGCUAGCGGCAGGCUAAAUACAUGCAAGUCGAGGGGUAGCAAGAUUGUAGCAAUACAAUUGUCGACGACCGGCAAACGGGUGCGGAACACGUACACAACCUUCCUACAAGUGGGGAAUAGCCCAGAGAAAUUUGGAUUAAUACCCCGUAACAUAGCGAUGUGGCAUCACAUUGCUAUUAUAGCUUCGGCGCUUGUUGAUGGGUGUGCGGCUGAUUAGAUAGUUGGCGGGGUAACGGCCCACCAAGUCUACGAUCAGUAGCUGAUGUGAGAGCAUGAUCAGCCACACGGGCACUUAGACGUGGGACCGACUCGUGCGGGAGGCAGCAGUAAGUAAUAUUGGCCAAUGGCCGUAAGUCUGAUUCAUCCAUGCCGCGUGAAGGAUUAAGGUCCUCUGGAUUGUAAACUUCUUUUAUAAGGGGCGAAAAAAGGUCUUUCUAGAUCGUCUGACGGUACCUUAUGAAUAAGCACCGGCUAACUCCGUGCCAGCCGCCGCCGUAACAC
rnacentral:rRNA from 1 species